rnacentral:misc_RNA from 1 species
UCUAAGGAAUAAAACGGAACCUACACAUCGGAGAAACUUUGUUUAGUUUUGAGGGGUUUACCCUCAGAGCUUGUACUUUGAAAACUAAAUACUAUCUAAUUUCUUUAUUAACAAAACAAUAAACCGAGAACACCGCGUUAUUUGAGUUUUAAUUAACGAAUUAUAAUCGUUAACUCAAUUAAUCAGACAAUCUUUGAUUGUUUAGGUUAAGUUAUGAAGGGCGCAUGGUGAAUGCCUUGGUACUAGGAGCCGAUGAAGGACGGGACUAACACCGAUAUGCUUCGGGGAGCGGUAAGUACGCUUUGAUCCGGAGAUUUC